rnacentral:SRP_RNA from 1 species
GCUGGGCACGGUGGCACUUGCCUGUAGUCCCAGCUACACAGGAGGCUGAGGCUGGAGGAUCGCUUGAGUCCAGGAGUUAUGGGCUGUAGUGCGCUAUGCCGAUCGGAUGUCUGCACUAAGUUCGGCAUCAGUAUGGUGACCUCCCAGGAGCGGAGGCCCACUAGGUUGCCUAAGGCGGGGUGAACCUGCCCAGGUCGGAAACGGAGCAGGUCAAAACUCCUGUGCUGAUCAAUACAAUAGUGGGAUCAUGCCUGUGAAUAGCCACUGCACUCCAGCCUGGGCAACAUAGUGAGACCCCAUCUCU